ACAUGGACAAGCUUGGUUUUAGUCAUCUCUUUAGAGCAUCGUUAUCUCAGGUUUUUAUUGAAUCUCUUAGCAUAAUUAGGAUUAAAAAGAACAAGAAAAAUAGUCAUUAAAACAAGAGAGGGUUCUUGUUUCUCCUAAAUAGGAGAAGUUUCUUAUACCUUUGUCCUCUUCUCUCUGCAACAACUACAAAGCGUAGGUUCUCUCUUCUCUUUUCUUCCUCAAGUUUUGUUUUGUUUUUUUUUUUUUUUUUUUUUUUCUGAUGAUUGCUUUUCUCGUGAUGUGAGUAAUCACGCAACUACUCCUUAGACCAUCGUCUGAUUCGAUUCUCCUCGCCCUAUAAUCGUGAGUGAGUCGUCUCUUCUGCCCGAACGAAAACGUAAAAAUGGAUUUGAUGAAAGAAGGCAAGAUAGUGACCAACAAUCUUUCCCUCGUCGAGUAUGAGCUUGUAAGCGUUGAAGCUUAAUUUGGUGCAGCCACCAAAAGAAAGCAGAGUGACUCAAAAUACUUGUCCUCUAGUUGAAGAAGUAGCCUCUUUCUCUCUGCUUUGAGUUUUUGCUUAUCAUAAUUUGCAGAUAAGGAAUCUACGGCUGCGCAGGUUGCAAAACGCCUCUUUACAAAUCAACCACAAAGUUUAAAGCAGGUUGUGGCUGGCCUGCAUUCUUUGAUGGAAUCUUUGGUGCCAUAACUCGAACCGUUUUCAGUGAAGAGAGUAGCGACGGUGACCAUUUCAAAAACUUAUGGCGGAGAUGUCUCCGGUUAUGUCCUCCGACAAGCUACCACCCGCUUAUUCACUGCUUUUAGGCAAAUUGAGAGCAUGAGAGACCGUCACAACGAGCAAGGUUCAACGAACAUUACAAACGACGAUAGGUCUACAAACAGUUACGUGCCAGACAAGGCAAAAGAAGGAGUGAAGAAAGCGACGGAUGCAGCCUUGAACGCCGGAGAUAACAUGAAGAAUGCGAUGGAUGGCGCCUGGAAAGCGGCGAAAGGAAACGGGUCAAAACAUCAGCGAAGCAAUAGUGGGGGACGAUGACGACAACGACAACGACAACGACAGAGUAUACAAGCGGAGCAUUUGCAACGAUGGAUGACACUACAAUUGUAAAUAUUUCUGAACACUUGUCAAUAUAGCCUUGCAAAUGAGUCACCAUCUGAUGAUCCUCACCAUGCCGCCGUCAGUUACGUUCUCGCCAAAUCGAAUAUACCGUAAUCUGAAAAGUAUAUUGAAUGAGGAAGAGCUGAACCAUGUCUUGAUGAUUGUCGACCAGUAAUUGCAGAAUUGUAUUUGUAGCCCAUUCUCCCUUGAGUGAAAAAUAGCAAGGAGCUUCUCAGUUAGGCCUUUCCAAACUUCACCUGAGUAUAUGGGCAUUGAAAAUAGACAUGAUCCCGAGUUUCCACGGCUGCAUUACAGAGUAUACAAGCGGAGUUUGCUUUUGUACAUAUCUUCAAAAAUCGCAUGUAAUAUAUACAAACAUAAACACAUAAUCUGCUCUGUAUAUUUAUUAGUGAAAGGAUAAUAAGAAUCUGAGGUGCAUGCAUG